UUGAUAAGAGAUUCCAGGUCACAAUCCGAUGGUAUGCUCAAUAUAGAUGAUACUACUGCAUGUUCUGUUUUACAGGAUACCUUUGAGAUUCUUGCUUGUAAAGAGAUUCGACUAUCAAUAAAUCGAGUAUCAUCAUCAGAAUCUGGUGAUGUAGGUGAGGAAGGGGGUGAGAGCGGAGGAGCAUCUGCUGCUAGAGGAAAGGUCAUCACUCACGCAGUGAGAAAGAGUCUCAUACAAAACACCAUACCCAUCUUCAUUGAGUUAAAAAGGCUAAUGGAAAGCAAGAAUCGCCCCUUAUAGGUUCCCUCAUGGAAUGCCUUCGAGUUCUUCUCAAGGACUACAAGAACGAAAUUGAUGACUUAUUGGUAGCUGAUAAGCAACUUCAGAAAGAGCUCCUCUAUGACAUUCAAAGAUAUGAAUCUACCAAAGCCAAGUCAGCCGUUGCUGAGGCAGUCAACGAGAUGCAAAAGUCAACUAACUAUCUUUCUCCCGAGGCUCCUCCUCAAGCU